rnacentral:rRNA from 1 species
AAUUGUGGUAAGUAGUGAAAUACAAAUCGAACUAGGAUAUAGCUGGUUUUCUGCGAAAUCUGUUUUAGUAGAUGAUUUAUUAAUUUUAUUAAUGGGUAUAGCACUGAACAUCUAAUAUUAUUUAGAAAGGAGUAUGAAAGUACUGUUUUUGGAUGUUUAAUCUCAGAAUAAUUAAUAAUGAUUGAAAUAAGUUAUCGGACUUCUAGCGAUAAGGUGGGAAGUCAAGAGGGAAACAGCCCAGAAUAAUAUUUAAAGUUCCAUAAUUGUUAUUGAGUGAAAUAAAAGAAGUGAUUUCCCGAAGACAGUCAAGAAG